UCGCCGGGAAGCUGCCGACCCCGUUGGACCGCGGGUCCCUGCGGCAGCUCGCCCGUGGGUCAGCGGGAGAAUCGCCGGCUCGGGCAGCGCUCGGCAGGAGCCCGCGCGGGCUCUGUCCAGUGCAGCUCAUCAGUCUCAGCAAUACGGGGCGAAUUCCCUCUGUUUCAGAACGCAUAUGACAGAGGCCGCUUUAGAGGAAAUGUCUUCCAUCAGCGGCGUCUGUCCUCUGCCGUCAUCCCUCACAGUCGAAGCAUGAGAGCUCAUUAAGCGUUUCUAAUUAAUUUGUGAUUCGGCUGUUUCCUGUUCAGACUGUCAACUAAAGAGGCAGCUGAGCGUCAUUACCGGAGCAUGUGGCGGUCUUGCUGUUUCAGCGAGGAAAAUACUCCUGCCAACAGAGCUGUACCCCCCUCCUCGCCCACGGCGUCUCCAUCUGCCGGACCACCCUCACCGGUGGGCCGUGCAGCGGUCACCGCACCUUCACGUCUCCGGCGUCGCCGGCACCCGUCCCCACGCACCACCAACCGGGGCCGGCCCCCGGCCAGACCCCCGGGGACGCUUUUGCAACUGCUGGCGAUUCCCACCCUGGACACAGGCUUCUGCUGAGCUCUGCUCUCUGAGUUUCUUAUCGUAAUACCCUUCCUGCCGUUUUUGGUUGCAGAUUCCUUACCGUUUGCGUGCACAUCCUUCUUUUAGACCACAAUGGAAAAAACUCUGGGGUGGUUCCUGCUACCUCGAGGUCUCCUUAACUGCAAGCCCACAAACUGUUUCCAUUUCUCUUGAUACCUUCUUUAAAAAAGUGCGGCACAUUUGUAAUACCCUCCUGGAGACAGACCCAAUUAGUAGUUCACAAAAUAGCAACUCCUACAGCAAUUGUUUAUAUAAAAGAAAACACUUCUACUGCAAAGGCAAUUUUGCCUUGGAUAAAGACAGCAAUGAAACCCAACUGUUUAAAUGCAACGCAGGCUUCUAUGGAAAGAAUCUGUCCACUAGCCAAAGCUCUGAGAAAAAUAUUAAUCACUAAAACAGUUUGAAAAAUUCAGAUGUUGAGAUAUCUGCUGGUACCAUCCAUGGCUUUUAGCAAGCUGGUACGGCACUGAGAGCAUUCCUAAUGGCAUGGAGGGGAGCCGGGGCACUUGGAGGGCAGCUUGUCUGCGACGUGUCAAAAUGCAGUGAGCUCCAUGCAGCUUUCCAGAAAAGUCAAAGCUUGCUGGUUCAAGUUGUGCAGCCAUUUCAUACGCAGUUAUGAAAAAGAAUAUUUCCUUGACAGGAUUGUUCUUGGUGUCGCGGUGUUUCUGGAAGUCAGUGUGCUUCCUACAGGCCAGGCAGCUCUCUGCAUGAAUUUCAGCAUGUUCCCCUUUUUAAUGGCAAUAGCAAAUACGUUUCGAGCCACAGCUCUGCCGACAACCUGACAGCAACCUCCAUCACCUCUUCAGUGUUUCAGACUAGGGAACGCUUGCAUCUCAGAUUUCACCUAGGUGAAACGAAAUGCCUAAAAAUCUAAAGAAAUUGCUUCUGCCUCAAUAUCACCACUGUCGUCCUACCUGAUAGAUCUUUUCCCGAUUUUUAAAUUCACAUAUCAUAGGAAGAAACCAAAAAAACCCCCAGCCCGUUCUGCUCCGAGCAAGAGAAAUUACUUCCAUGUGGGGUAAGUGAUUGCAGGUAAGUGAUAUUUGUGUACGCAGGUGGCAUCUGGUUUUCUGGCAUCUGGGCAGGGCACCGAGCCGCGCGCUCGGUAACUUGCAUCACCGCAUGAUUCAUACCAUCAGCUGACCUUCAUCUAGCUGCUGUUCUGCUUUUAUUUCCUUUGCUCCCUACAAGUUACAGUAAAGGAAAUUCUCCCCGUGUUUCAUACACAAUGCUUCCUUUCAUUCAAGGAAGACUGCGAAUGGUUGCACUUUUAGCAUUUAAAAACCCAACCGGUACAGUCAUCUACUUGAAGAGCACGGGAUGGAGUGACGCUUCCCUCUCCCCUCACACCGACCCCCCCCACACCAUACGCACCCCAGGCGCCGCUGUACGUUAGUCACAGCCUCCCCCCCCCCGGUGAAAUCCCUGCUGGGAGAUGCUGCAGACCCUCGGGGUGGGCUGACAGGGUUUGCAGCGCGGGUCCCUCCCCGUUUUGUGUGCCAAACGGAGAAGCGAGCGGGUCUCCAGGACCCCCGGGUCCGGCUCCGCGCCCAGCGAGGCCGUUCCUCCCGGAUCCGCACGCGUGUCCGUCCCCGGCAGCUGAGGAAGGACGGCCGGCAUCCCUGGAUGUCUCGGCUUUUUGAUGCACGAAGGUAAAAGAGAGUCUGGUGGUCUCAUCCCAGCAGGAGCAUCUCAGCUGUGCGCUUUAGGAGAGUUUCUGGGCUGUGGGAAGAGGCCACCGCAGGCUCAGGGUGAAUCAAUAUCCCCUGCCAUCCCAUCCAUCGUGGUACAGAAUUACUGUGUGACGUUACCAAGGCCGGGGUCUCUGGAAGGAGGGGAGGAAGGGAGGAAAACCACACCGAGUGGAAGAAGAGUCAUCUGCAGAUCUUUUCAAAGUUAAAAAUAGGCAGGAUUUUGUCUGCAGAAGACAGUGUGUUCUGUUAUGCUGCUGACAUCAUGUGAGCACGCCGUACGCUUCUGCAUUUGAAGACUAAAACCGACACGCUGAAAACAGGAACUUUCUGAAUAUUCUGCAUGCCUGAGAUUUAAUGGUUUCAGCGAGCCGCCUGAUACCAUCUCAUCCAUAUGGCCGUGCUUGGGUGGGGGAACUAAACAUCUCAUUAGCUCUGUAGGGUCAUUAAAAGCCGGAGAACAGAUCAUAAGGAAUAAUAAGAAUGUAUGUCAUCAUGCAGAGACAGAUGAUAAAAGCAACCACCUCUGACACUGAGUGCUUCAAUGCGAGGAGACCCAAUUUACCAGUGUGGAGGAGCUGAGUGCUUGCUAACUCACUAAUGUCAGCAGGAGCUGUUUAUACUCUCUUCAUCAGAAAAAUCAGACCGACAGCAUCGAAAUGUGACUAAAACCAGAGGAUGAUACAGGGAAUUUUGGCCUACAUAACUUUGCAAUGAGUUCACCGAGCAUUCCUGGCUCCCAGGCCUGAACCGAGUCUACUAAACUGUGCAACAUUUGUUCAUAAUCAAAUUAUAGUUUAUACACACACACACAGAAAUGCAAACACACAGACACGUAUCUUCCCACAAACACACAAAACAUACGCAUACAGUAGAAAGCUGAUGUGCUGCUGGCUGAAUUGUUGCACUGUUCUCGGCUGUGAUAGCAAAGUACGCCGAGACCGACACCAGCAGCAAGAAAAUGAUUGCUCCCAACUUGGGAACGAGGACUCCAGAAGCGAGCCGGGGAUUACCUGACACGAUGGCCGUGGGUGCAAUGUUCCUAACCCCACUGUCCUCCUCAGGCAUGAAAUAUUUCAGAAUUGCCACCUGUCCUCCAGGAAGCCUUUCUCGUGGAUACCCCAUAAAGUCCCCUCAGUCAAGAGAUGUUCCCUUCAGUUGGGAGCUAAGACCUAGGAAAUUGUUGAUCUCUCCAGCCGGAGCUACGGUUCAGUCUGCUCCAGGGAGCAGCUGGGGCUUGUCAUCCCCCUCUUUUUGCAUGUUAAUGCAGUCUUAAGACCUUUCAAUCUCAAGACUCACUGUAUUCACAGUACAUUCACACCAGCACUCAGCACAUUAGGGACCAUCAAAGAUGUGUGACAGGGAACAUGAAAAGCAAGCAAAAUUGCCACUGAAGGUAAAGCAUGAGUAGAGAAAGCGUUGUAUCCCCGCAUUUAAAAGUUCUUAGGCUUCCCAUUUGUUUCAGUCUUGUUGAUUAAGGCUGAAAAAUAAGGGUUUGACUGUCAUGACGACCUCUGUAAUUGCUUACGUGUGCAUGGCUUUCUAGUUUUACCCUUCGGGAAAAAUCUGUACGUGGAAGGAAAGCCAUGCUAGUCUUGAGUUAAAGAGAACAAAGAUGGGGUUUUAGUUUUAAAAAUUUUAUUAUGAUACAGCAGAAAGAUAAAGAUCUCACGAUUCUCAUGCUUCAUUUCUACAUUUUACCGUUAUCCUUCGCACUGAAGCUCUAGGAAUAUGCACAGUGGGGAACUUAGCCUCAGAAGGAGCAAAAUUAGUGGUGCAAUACAAAAUGACCGUUUCAUUCUCGCUUUUGAUUUUGCAAAAAUAAUUUGAUAUUGCACACUUUCUGGGACAUAAUUUCAGAAAUUGAAAUUUUGAGCUGCAAAACACUGUUUUAGACAGGAGAUCAAUGUUCUUCUCGGGGUACCUGAUCAGUGUUGUGCCAUUUGCAAAAAUGUAACUUUCCUGCAAAAGGUGCACUUGCACAGAAUUACUGAUUAUCCCUUUGUCUCCCUGAUUUCACACACUUUUACUGAACCGUCACAAACAUGUUCUACUCAGGAAGUUAAUCAUCAGAAUAAGCAUAUAGGGUAAAACAGUCUGAAGAGAUUCUUCCCAUUGGGGGAUCCCAGAACAUUUUGUUUUCCUCUAGUCAGGCAGAGAAUUAGUUUGUACAUCUUCCUUGCGGUGUGUUAACCACAUACUUAGCUAGUAGUCGUUGCCAAUGAUGUGAAUGAAUCUCUGAAGGGGAUUUUUUUUUUUUUUUUCCCCAAAGCUAAGAAAUCAAAAACAAUAGCCUAGCAGCCAUAUUGGAGAACAAGAGGAAGGAAAUGGCCAGGCUGUAAUAAAACUCAUGGGAACAAGAAAUAUAUAGAAUACAUAAAAAUACAAGUAAAAAAUAUUUCAGUGUAUGAUGAUUAUGCAUCUUUCCCACUGGGAGAGGUGAGGAAGCUGAGUUUUACCCUGAAGAAUCUGGGAUGUGCAUAAGGUGGUGAAAGGCGUGAGAUUAAAAGACAUCUUUGGGAGUGUCAGUGAAGCAGAACAAUCGAGGGAACAUACCAGGAGGAGGAGAUGUACUUUGUAAUUUAGCUGAUCUUCUCAAAUUCACGGAUGUUUGAAGCAGAAACAUUUAAUCUCCUGAGAUUGCAACUCAUCGGUAUGAAUAGCAAGACACCUUCGAUUCUGAUAUGUAAGACUACAGAUAUUGUUAUUUUUCAAUAAAUAAAAAACUACGCAAUAAGUAA